GGUCAGUCUCAUUAACACUAUGGCAGUAUUACAUAAAGGUUAGUCUCAUACAGACAGUAUUACAUAAAGGUCAGUCUCAUUAACACUAUGGCAGUAUUACAUAAAGGUUAGUCUCAUUAACACUAUGGCAGUAUUACAUAAAGGUCAGUCUCAUACAGACAGUAUUACAUAAAGGUCAGUCUCAUACAGACAGUAUUACAUAAAGGUCAGUC